rnacentral:ncRNA from 1 species
GUUAUAGUUCAUGAAGAUGAACCCCCGGUUCUGAUCAAUCGUGUGAAACAGCGGGUUCCAAUCGAACAGGGCAAGCAUGCUGCUGGGCAGAGUGUUGGCCACAAACAUCUUUCCCGACGCGAUCAUGUUCGCCCGCG